rnacentral:rRNA from 1 species
CACUCCUACGGGAGGCAGCAGUGGGGAAUAUUGCACCAUGGGCGCAAGCCUGAUGCAGCCAUGCCGCGUGUAUGAAGAAGGCCUUCGGGUUGUAAAGUACUUUCAGCGGGGAGGAAGGCAAUACGGUUAAUAACCGUGUUGAUUGACGUUACCCGCAGAAGAAGCACCGGCUAACUCCGUGCCAGCAGCCGCGGUAAUACGGAGGGUGCAAGCGUUAAUCGGAAUUACUGGGCGUAAAGCGCACGCAGGCGGUCUGUCAAGUCGGAUGUGAAAUCCCCGGGCUCAACCUGGGAACUGCAUUCGAAACUGGCAGGCUUGAGUCUUGUAGAGGGGGGUAGAAUUCCAGGUGUAGCGGUGAAAUGCGUAGAGAUCUGGAGGAAUACCGGUGGCGAAGGCGGCCCCCUGGACAAAGACUGACGCUCAGGUGCGAAAGCGUGGGGAGCAAACAGGAUUAGAAACCCCGGUAGUCCC